ensembl:lncRNA
GGGGGGGGUCGGCAGAGAUGGAGUAAGGAGGGACAGCAGGCAAUAGGAGGAUGUGUUGGUGUGGAAAGGGUAGGGACUCCCGAGUGAACAGUGAGUCAGUGAAAACCACAAAUGGCUCUGAGAGGCAGCAGUGGACUCAUUACUGGCACUGGGGAAGGAGUUGAGGCACAGGGUGGGAGUUGAAGAAGGUGAAAAUUAGGCAAAAUGGGAGUGAGACGAGAUAGGGGAGCUGUGUUGGGAAAUUGGAAAAUGCCUUUUGAGCACCACUAGGCUACAGGUGGGCUUUUUUGUUGGGAGAGGGGAGGUGGGGGUGAGACAAGUGACAGCAGUGUAGUAGAAUGAGAGAUCUUACUACACGAUUGCACCGUGUGUUCUGCCUAGACGCGGCUGAAUGGAGUGGGACGGUCAAGGGCAGGGACCGUCUCACAGACAGCUGAGCCAGAGGCGCAGUCAAUGUGUGCCUGCGGGGAGGAGAGCAGAGGUGAUGAAGGAAUAGCGGCAUGCGUCGUCGGAAGCCAGCGAUGUGAAGCUUUUGCGGAUAACGGUCAUUGUGUCUUGUUUGCUUUACGCCGUCUUCGUUCAAACUGCUUGAAUUCUAAACGGACCAAUUUAUUUCAGUUUUCGGUUCCUUACCAAGUUGGGACCUUGGAACAGUUUUCAAUCCUUCUCCUGAGGACAUGGACUCCACGUGAUGUAAUGGGCUACUUGUAAUGUCGGCAGACGGACAGUCAGACGGUCGUUUCUGUAUUUCCCAUGGUACUUAGUUGAAACAAAUACUAACUUCAACUUUGUUUUUCUUUGGUCUUAUGAGAAAGUGGCUGCAAAAUGUUUGGCUAUGAGGACAUCUCUGGGAAACGAGCUAGUAACCUCUUUUGAAGCUUAUACCGGAAAAAAGGCAGCGCGUGAACUACUUUACUUGAUAACAAUGUCAGCUGUAACAACAGGUGAAUAAGAUGUGGCCCCGCAUGCCGCCGUGCAGCGUCGUGGGAGAGUGAGCCCAAGACUGGAAUUGAUCGAUGAUUUCAGCAGGAAGACCAGCAUGAACGUUGAGGAUGUGGAGACUGGGGAGACUUGACUUGAAAAAUAAGCAGUGGUUCCGUUUCCCGGCAAAAAGAGACAUCCCUCUCUCAACUUGCGGAGUGCAGGAGCGUGCCCAUCCAGGGGCGUGCCCGUGCGGGAGCGUGCACG